AGAGUUUGAUCAUGGCUCAGGAUGAACGCUAGCGGCAGGCUUAAUACAUGCAAGUCGAGGGGCAGCAUGGUGUAGCAAUACACUGAUGGCGACCGGCAAACGGGUGCGGAACACGUACAGAACCUUCCUUCGAGCGGGGAAUAGCCCAGAGAAAUUUGGAUUAAUACCCCAUAGCAUAACGGAGUGGCAUCACUCUGUUAUUAAAGAUUUAUCACUUGAAGAUGGCUGUGCGGCUGAUUAGGUAGUUGGCGGGGUAACGGCCCACCAAGCCUGCGAUCAGUAACUGGUGUGAGAGCACGACCAGUCACACGGGCACUGAGACACGGGCCCGACUCCUACGGGAGGCAGCAGUAAGGAAUAUUGGUCAAUGGACGAAAGUCUGAACCAGCCAUGCCGCGUGGAGGAUGAAGGUCCUCUGGAUUGUAAACUUCUUUUAUAUGGGACGAAAAAAGGCUUUUCUAAGUCGUCUGACGGUACCAUAUGAAUAAGCACCGGCUAACUCCGUGCCAGCAGCCGCGGUAAUACGGAGGGUGCAAGCGUUAUCCGGAUUCACUGGGUUUAAAGGGUGCGUAGGUGGGUUGGUAAGUCAGUGGUGAAAUCUCCGAGCUUAACUUGGAAACUGCCAUUGAUACUAUCAGUCUUGAAUAUUGUGGAGGUUAGCGGAAUAUGUCAUGUAGCGGUGAAAUGCUUAGAUAUGACAUAGAACACCAAUUGCGAAGGCAGCUGGCUACACAUAUAUUGACACUGAGGCACGAAAGCGUGGGGAUCAAACAGGAUUAGAUACCCUGGUAGUCCAA
rnacentral:rRNA from 1 species